rnacentral:tRNA from 1 species
GCCCUCGUAGCUCAGUGGACAGAGCGCAGCGUCGCGGACGCUGAGGCCACAGAUUCGAUUCCUGCCGAGGGUA